AGAGGAACACCAAAGGCGAAGGCAGAUAAUUAGGUAAUUCAUGACGCUGAUAGACGACAGCUAGGGGAGCGAAAGGGAUUAGAGACCCCUGUAGUCCUAGCCGUAAACGAUGGACACUAGCUGAUCGGAAUUUUCUGGUCGGCGUAAGCUAACGCGUUAAGUGUCCCGCCUGGGAAGUACGGCCGCAAGGCUAAAACUCAAAGGAAUUGACGGGGGAGCGCACAACCGGUGGAGCAUGUGGUUUAAUUCGAUACAAAGCGAAAUACCUCACCCUAGUUUAAUAUAACUGCAAAUCCAGUGAAAGCUGGAUGUCUUCGAGAGUGUUAUACAGCUGUUGCAUGGCUGUCGUCAGUUCGUGUCGUGAGACGUUUCUUUAAGUAGAAUAACGAACGCAACCCCUAUCGUGUGUUGAAUUUUCACGCGAGACUGCUCUUGAUAGUAUCAAGGGAGGAAGGAGGGGACGAUGUCAAGUCAGCAUGACGCUUACACCUGGGGCCACACACAUCCUACAAUGGGAAGUACAAUGGGUUGCCAACCAGUAAUGGGGAGCCAAUCCCGUAAAACUUCCCUCAGUUCAGAUUGAGGGCUGCAACUCGCCCUCAUGAAGUCGGAAUCGGUAGUAAUCGCAGAUCAGCAGGCUGCGGUGAAUACGUUCUCGCUCCUUGUACACACCGCCCGUCAAGUGAGCAAAGUUGGCAGUACCUGAAGUUGGUGUCUUUAACCUAGCAAUAGGGUGAGCCCACCUAAGGUAAGGUCAGCGAUGAGCGCUAAGUCGUAACAAGGUAUCCGUUCUGGAAGGAGCGGAUG
rnacentral:rRNA from 1 species